CCUACGGGUGACUGCAGUGAGGAAUAUUGGUCAAUGGACGAGAGUCUGAACCAGCCAAGUAGCGUGAAGGAUGACUGCCCUAUGGGUUGUAAACUUCUUUUAUAUGGGAAUAAAAUGUUCCACGUGUGGGCUUUUGUAUGUACCAUAUGAAUAAGGAUCGGCUAACUCCGUGCCAGCAGCCGCGGUAAUACGGAGGAUCCGAGCGUUAUCCGGAUUUAUUGGGUUUAAAGGGAGCGUAGGUGGAUUGUUAAGUCAGUUGUGAAAGUUUGCGGCUCAACCGUAAAAUUGCAGUUGAAACUGGCAGUCUUGCGUACAGUAGCGGUGGGCGGAAUUCGUGGUGUAGCGGUGAAAUGCUUAGAUAUCACGAAGAACUCCGAUUGCGAAGGCAGCUCACUGGACUGCAACUGACACUGAGGCUCGAACGUGUGGGUAUCAAACAGGAUUAGAUACCCUGGUAGUC
rnacentral:rRNA from 1 species